AAACGACUCUCGGCAACGGAUAUCUCGGCUCACGCAUCGAUGAAGAACGUAGCAAAAUGCGAUACUUGGUGUGAAUUGCAGAAUCCCGUGAACCAUCGAGUUUUUGAACGCAAGUUGCGCCCGAAGCCAUUCGGUUGAGGGCACGUCUGCUUGGGCGUCACGCA
rnacentral:rRNA from 1 species